UACGUAGGGCGCAAGCGUUGUCCGGAAUUAUAGGGCGUAAAGAGCUCGUAGGCGGCUUGUCGCGUCGGUUGUGAAAGCCCGGGGCUUAACCCCGGGUCUGCAGUCGAUACGGGCAGGCUAGAGUUCGGUAGGGGAGAUCGGAAUUCCUGGUGUAGCGGUGAAAUGCGCAGAUAUCAGGAGGAACACCGGUGGCGAAGGCGGGUCUCUGGGCCGAAAUUGACGCUGAGGAGCGAAAGCGUGGGGAGCAAACAGG
rnacentral:rRNA from 1 species